AGCGUGUGCUUUUACUGAACGUUG
rnacentral:siRNA from 1 species